CGGACGGGUGAGUAACGCGUAAAGAACUUGCCCUUUAGACUGGGAUAACAGAGGGAAACUUCUGAUAAUACUGGAUAAGUUAGUAUAUCGCAUGAUAUGCAAAUGAAAGCUACGGCACUAAAGGAGAGCUUUGCGUCCUAUUAGCUAGUUGGUAAGGUAAGAGCUUACCAAGGCGAUGAUAGGUAGCCGGCCUGAGAGGGUGGACGGCCACAAGGGGACUGAGAUACGGCCCUUACUCCUACGGGAGGGCAGCAGGCC
rnacentral:rRNA from 1 species